GACGUAGGUGGCGAACGUUAUCCGGAAUUAUUGGGCGUAAAGGGUGCGUAGGCGGCAUGAUAAGUUAUUGGCGGGAAAUCGAGGCUCAACCUCGUGGAAACUAAUAAUACUGUUUUGCUUGAGUACAGGAGAGGUUAACGGAACUCCAUGUGGAGCGGUAAAAUGUGUAGAUAUAUGGGAAGAACAUCAAUAACGGCGAAGGCAGUUAACUAUUCUGUUACUGGACGUUGAGGCACGAAAGGCGUGGGGAGCAAAACGG
rnacentral:rRNA from 1 species